AGAGGAGUGCUCGCAAGAGAACCGGAACACAGGUGCUGCAUGGCUGUCGUCAGCUCGUGUCGUGAGAUGUUGGGUUAAGUCCCGCAACGAGCGCAACCCUUGUCAUUAGUUGCCAGCAUUCAGUUGGGCACUCUAAUGAGACUGCCGGUGACAAACCGGAGGAAGGUGGGGAUGACGUCAAGUCCUCAUGGCCCUUAUGGGUAGGGCUUCACACGUCAUACAAUGGUCGGGACAGAGGGUUGCCAAACCGCGAGGUGGAGCCAAUCUCAGAAACCCGAUCGUAGUCCGGAUUGCAGGCUGCAACUCGCCUGCAUGAAGUCGGAAUCGCUAGUAAUCGCGGAUCAGCAUGUCGCGGUGAAUACGUUCCCGGGUCUUGUACACACCG
rnacentral:rRNA from 1 species